GUUUUAAUAGGAAAGUUAGCGGCGGACGGGUGAGUAACACGUGGGUAACCUGCCCAUAAGACUGGGAUAACUCCGGGAAACCGGGGCUAAUACCGGAUAACAUUUUGAACCGCAUGGUUCGAAAUUGAAAGGCGGCUUCGGCUGUCACUUAUGGAUGGACCCGCGUCGCAUUAGCUAGUUGGUGAGGUAACGGCUCACCAAGGCAACGAUGCGUAGCCGACCUGAGAGGGUGAUCGGCCACACUGGGACUGAGACACGGCCCAGACUCCUACGGGAGGCAGCAGUAGGGAAUCUUCCGCAAUGGACGAAAGUCUGACGGAGCAACGCCGCGUGAGUGAUGAAGGCUUUCGGGUCGUAAAACUCUGUUGUUAGGGAAGAACAAGUGCUAGUUGAAUAAGCUGGCACCUUGACGGUACCUAACCAGAAAGCCACGGCUAACUACGUGCCAGCAGCCGCGGUAAUACGUAGGUGGCAAGCGUUAUCCGGAAUUAUUGGGCGUAAAGCGCGCGCAGGUGGUUUCUUAAGUCUGAUGUGAAAGCCCACGGCUCAACCGUGGAGGGUCAUUGGAAACUGGGAGACUUGAGUGCAGAAGAGGAAAGUGGAAUUCCAUGUGUAGCGGUGAAAUGCGUAGAGAUAUGGAGGAACACCAGUGGCGGAAGGCGACUUUCUGGUCUGUAACUGACACUGAGGCGCGAAAGCGUGGGGAGCAAACAGGAUUAGAUACCCUUGGUAGUCCACGCCGUAAACGAUGAGUGCUAAGUGUUAGAGGGGUUUCCGCCCUUUAGUGCUGAAGUUAACGCAUUAAGCACUCCCGCCUUGGGGAGUACGGCCGCAAGCCUGAAACUCAAGGAAUUUGACGGGGGUCCCGCACAAGCGGUUGCAGCAUGGUGGUUUAUUUCGAAGCAAACGCGAGAAACCUUUA
rnacentral:rRNA from 1 species